rnacentral:rRNA from 1 species
AACGAACGCUGGCGGCAUGCCUAACACAUGCAAGUCGAACGAGACCUUCGGGUCUAGUGGCGCACGGGUGCGUAACGCGUGGGAACCUGCCCUUAGGUUCGGAAUAACUCCCCGAAAGGGGUGCUAAUACCGGAUAAUGUCUUCGGACCAAAGAUUUAUCGCCUUUGGAUGGGCCCGCGUUGGAUUAGCUAGUUGGUAGGGUAAAAGCCUACCAAGGCGACGAUCCAUAGCUGGUCUGAGAGGAUGAUCAGCCACACUGGGACUGAGACACGGCCCAGACCCCUCGGGGGGGCAGCAGGGGGGAAUUUGGGAAAGGGGGCGAAAGCCUGACCCAGCAAUGCCGGGGGGGUGAUGAAGGCCUUAGGGUUGUAAAGCUCUUUUACCCGGGAGGAUAAGGACAGUACCGGGAAAAUAAGCCCCGGCUAACCCCGU